AGCAGCGUGGACUGGACAGAAGGCGGCUAUCGCUGCUCCAUCGGGUGUGUUAGCUCUCCAGGGCUCCAGCCCAAGCCUUGCAGGGACAGUCCCUGGCAUCCCACCGGCAAGUGUGCCCUGGAGGAGGACUGCUGACCUCGCCACCCAGAGACCCGGGUGCUGUGCUGUCCUUCACAAGAACUUGGGGACAGAGAUUCCGAGUGGUCGGCACGGAGCCCUGAGUGCCCGCCCUCCCAGGUGACAUGGUCAUGGGUACCUGGGCCGCCUGGCUUAGCAGGACUGUCCAAUAAGGAGAGAACCUGACAUGUGAUCUCCUUCUCUACAGAGGACAGGCCUUGGUUUCUGUAGCACGGCAACAAUUCUGUUCCUGUCCUGAGAGCCGAAUGCCCCUGGGUAGGGGCAGGGCAAAGCCAGGCCCCGGCCCCCGGCUGUGUUGAGAUAAGCCCCUGGGUAGCCGCGCAGAUGCCACGUGAGGAUCUUUCACAAAGCAGCUCUCGGUCACGGUCGUGCACCAGUCCUUGCCGGGGUGACCGGGGAUUCGGAGGCGACAAAGGUGUGGGUUCUGACCUCAAGAUCCACAAGCUGUCGGCGUGGAUGGCGCCUCUUCAGGGAUGACAGCCCAUCUUCUGCGCGUGAGAAGCGUUACUUCUUUCUCUGAGUCUGAGAAGACCAGAGACUUGAGGUUCGGUUGGUCCUUGGAGGAAAUGGAGGAGUUUGGCACCGUGGUGUCUGGAACGCAAUGGAUGGGACCCUGCCCUUGGUGACACAUCUUUCGACCUGAUGAGGACUCCUUAUAACCAAGGGGAUUAUAACCAAAGUCCCCACCGGUGGAUCCUGUCUCAAAUCUCCCACGUCCCCGGCUCUGCCUGCAGAAGUAAUGAUGCCGACCUUUUUAGUCAUGGAUUCAACAAUGUCACAGCAGCAACGGUGCGCCAGGUCUGACAGCCGGAUGCGAGCAAGCCGGGAGGUGACUGCUGCUGCAGGUCAAAGAACUCUCUCUGCUCUACCCCAGGGAAGUUCCCCCGAGUGGCCUCCUCCAUCCUCCAGGACCCACGGCCGCCUUCAUCUUCCCGUGGUCAUUUCCUGGAGCUCCAGAAAACUACCACCUUCAUCUUCCCCUGGGUUUGCCUCCCAGAGCUCAGGAAAACGUGGCUCAUUUGCACCUCCACGUGUAACCAGCGUGUAGGGGCCACUGCAUGUUUUCAUUGAGAAGAACCUUGCCCGUCGUCCCCUCUCACUGCCUUCUCCAAGUGGCCUUAGUCCUGGAAAGGGGACCGGCCUGCUUGGAUGCCUCUUCUGGGGAACACAGCCCCUGGCUCAGUGGACAUGUGUCCUAAUCAUGACAUCCACACUCUUAAGCAGGGUGUCCAGGGUGACAUGGGGCAGGCAGACCUGAGAAUAGACAGCUUUAGCUUCCAUCUCCAAUGGUUCCUUUCCCCUCUUCCUUCUCUGAAUUACAACUUGCUAUUAAAUGUCCCUCGAGUAUCCAACAGGUAGAUUCACAAUUAAAUGAGGGACACUGGGAAAGUGUGUUUCGGCCACCCAGCCAUCAUGCCGUGCUUUGGAAUGGGAAAGAAAAAGGCAAGUUAAAGAUGAUGUUUAACUAACAAGUGUUGGCAAACUCCUUGGCAGACGGAGGGCGGACUCUUGCCUGGCCACCCUGAUUUCCUGUGUGCUGCAGUUUUACUGAAACACUGAGCUCAGGCUGGACAACUGAGUUUUUGGCUUGUAACCAGAUUCCUGUCCAUCGUGUAUUUUAUGAGUUAGCUUUAAGACUGGAGGAUGGAAAAACCCGCUUACUCACACUAAGAACCCUGCCUCCCCAGGUACUCAGCAAAGCAUGAAGCACAGGAAAGAUGUUUCGCAGCUUUAAGAAGUUGCUUCCCUUUCCGAAGAGCCUCAAGCAGGCUCCGAGGUGGUGUGCUAACAGACCGAGCAGUUUCUUGUCUCUCAUCAAACCUGACUGAAGCAUGCCAAAUACCCCUCGGUUUUCCCCAGGUUAAUGUGACCGCAGGGUUCUCAGCAUGUUGGUAGUGUGACGGUGGCAUCAGCGGCUGCUAAAUGCUGGAGUCGGCUCAGAACAUUCUGCUCCUAUCUCGGUGAUUCACAUCCUUACUCUGCCAAGAGGAGAGCUUUGAUGUCCUCGUUCUCAAGCGAAGCAUUUACUAGGUCACCAACAACAUCCCAACAGGCAACAGAGGAAGAAUCAUGAUUCGUGACUUCUUAAAAAUGAAAGGAAAAACUACUAUAGACAGAUACCCAACUUAGGCCCCAGUGGUAAUGACAGGAGGCAGCUAUCAGCAUUUACAGGAAGAAGGGGCUCCUGAGAUCUGCGGAGUUGCAAAGGAUUCACUGAAGAAAGCCAUGUCCAGAUCAAGUCUUCAAGGAUGAACGGAAGUCAGACAGGCAGAGGCGGGAGGCCAGUGGGCACCAAGGGACCUCAGAGCAGUGUUGCUGCAGGGAAGUGCAAUCCGAGGACUGAAGCUGGCGAAGGCAGAGUUCCCUGUGCAAGAAGGUCACCUGUGCCGCACGGAGAGCUUGGAGGUCACCCUGGGAGUGCUGGAGGGAAGCCACUGAGGACCACUCCAGAGCCCUGCCCGCCAGCCCAGGACCUACCCCUCGCCCUGGUGUGGCUCUGGGAGGCACCCCUCCAACAGCAGGGGCGUGAGUGCCCCUUGUGGUAUUUCAUUUUCCAUUCUGAUGCCUUCGGCCUGCUCAAGACAGACACCUUUGGAUGCCAUGUGACGGAACCUCCUGUUAAAGCCCAGUACACCAGUGGACGAUGAAGCAGUACACCAGUGGACGAUGAAGCAGUACACCAGUGGACGAUGAAGCACGUUCCCCGAGCUUACUCAGCACCUGCAUGAGUGCCACUGUUCCUUCUGUCUCACGAAAGCAGCAAAACGGCGCAUCGCAUUUUAUCUUCCCCACUGGCCCUCGGUCUUUUCUACUUAUUCUCUGCAUCUUUUCAUAGUUGACCAAUCAACACACAUAAUCAUAUGUUCAACGGAAUUGAUGAUGGAUCUUACAGUGUUAAUUCCACCCCAAAAUACACUUGCACAUUUUCGAGGUCUUCAAUCUCCAACUCAAAGAAAUCUCUAAGGCGGGGAUAUUAACCACUUGCCAGGCCAGUAGAUGAGGCAUCUGAGGCUGGACUUCCUGUUAUGCCUUCUGCCAAUCUAACCAUGGAGCCAGCCAAUGCUCUCCUUGCUAUCAGCCAGAAUGACUGGGUCUUUUCCAGGGACCUGGAUAGCACUGUGGAGACUCAGGGCUUGGAUAUGCUGGAGAAGAUACUGACUUUCUGAAGAGACACCAUUAAACCCAGAUCCUGGCUCCAUUAAUUUGGCCAUAUCUUUGGAAGCAUGUCUACAACUAUGGAUUGCUGAGCAAGCACAAGCUGACCCUGGGCUCCCCAGAAUUUGGGAUUACAUUCCUCCCAAAUACUCUGUCUCCUAAUGUGAACCUGCUUUGCUAAAGUGACCAUGCGUGAUUCCAGAAGGGGCAAGCCUACCCUUGAUGCAAGUGGACCAGACGUUCAGGGACCCAGGGGGUGUGUUAAACUGAAGAGGAAGAGAAAUGAAAGGCACUCAGGCCUCUAAUGAUUGGGCAGUUAGGGGUUUGAAAAGCAACAGUACUUCCUAGUUUAUGGGUAUGAAUGCUGAUAACAACACAGGGUAAUUCUCAUCAGUCUGCAAAGCACAUCCCUCUGAAGCGUCUUAAUUUCUAACAUCUAAAAAGUGUUUGGCAGUCAAAGUGAACAUGUCCUCAGGGUGAUAAAUGUGGUUUUCAUUUCAUUUCAGUUCCAAAGUGCUUUUAAAUAGAGUUACAGAGCUUGAAGCUGCAUUGAAGCUUUCCCUCUAUGUAUGACAUGCCUUUGGAUUUUUAAUGGUUUGAGUAGAUAUUUUAUUAACCCACAGUAUGAUUUAAAUUGAAAUAAGUAAUCUAGAUCAGUGCCUCUCAACCUUGGCUGCAUUUUAGAAUCUUCCAGAUAUUCUUAUUUAGUAAACUUUGGGUGCAGCCUAACAUUCAGAUAGUUAAAACUUCCCAGUGAUGCUCAAGUAUAGCCAAGAAUGAAAAUCACUAACCUCAACCCUCCCUCCUCCUGUACCCACCACGAUGACACUCAGUGACUGCCCACUACACUCCUGUUACGUCAUACAUGAAGACAAUGUUUUAUAUUAUAAAGUUGGUAGUUCAAGCUGCAAACGUGAACCUCACGUCUCUCUCCAUUUAACAGAUGAGGAAAGUGAGGGUCUGAGAAGUAAGGUAACUUGUCCAUGGUCACACAGCUCGGAGGGCAGAGCUGGGGUCCAGGCAGGGCGGCCUGUCUCCACGGCCCAUGUUCUUACAGACUCCUCACUCUGUGGUGCUUUCUCUCUGCAAGCCUCUUAAGGUUCAAAUUUAAAGCCUAUGAGAAGGCAAUUCCACAGUACAAACACACGAUGCUCCCUGUCUGUGAGUAUGUCCUUCCUGCAACCUGCCCUGUGGAGACCCUCUGUCUGGAUCAUCACCUGCCUCACACAUCCAAGGCCAUCUCAAACCUUGGAGAGUUUUCUGGAAAGACCCGCUUAGUGAUGUCUUUCCACAGAUCAGGUUAUGCAGGAGUCUAUUAGCUUCUCCAUCCUGGCCAUACCUCCACCUCUCCUUGUCGACAACUCCGUUGGUAAAAACAAAACCUCCCCCUUUCCCUGUCUCUCUGAAGCCCUGUGGUCCUGUGUUUGCAGGGAGGGUUGGAGGGAUGAUAGCACGCCACCUAGUAAAGAUGGCAGAGGGAAAUACAAGGGAGAUACCCUCAGAUAUUUUUUGUCAUGUGCACUGUGGGUCUAACUGGGUAUCUCUCUCUCUCUCAAAAAAAAAAAAAAAAAAAAAAGGAUAUAGUUAGAAUUCUAACCCCGGGUCUCUGAAUGAGGACUCAUUUGAAGACGGGCCUUUACAGAUAGUCAAGUUAAAAUGAGGCCACCAUGGUGUCCUUGAAGUCCAAUAAGACUCAUGGUUUUAUAAAAACAAGAAAUUUGGAUACUGAGAGACAGAAAUAAAACGACGAUAAUGUACUGUGUGGCCAUCUGCAAGCCAGAGAGAGACCAGAGCAGAUCCUCCCCUCGCAGCCCUGGCAAGGAAGCAACCCUGCUACGCUUGAUUUGGCCUUCUGGCCUCCAGAACUGUGGCCAUACAUUUCUGUCACUGGAGGCACCCACUGGAGGUGCCAGGUGCUGGCAGCGCUGGGCAGCUGAGCUAGUGAGUGUGGAAGGGACGUCGUCCCCAGGAGAGCGGCCACAUGGAGCCCACAGGAAGCACGACCACGGACGGCCAGCCUCCAGGGGGCUGCGUGCGCUCAGGCUCCUCUCCUGGAGGCUGGAAGGAAAAGGGUCUGGGGGAUCCGCCAGCAUCUGGCCCUGCACUCAGCCUGCGGUGCCAGUCUCUGUUGCCAUGCCAACUGAGAUGUCAGAAAGGCCCUGCGUCUCAGGUCCCCCGCCCUGGGCCAGCUGGCCUUCUCGGAGCCGGGUCAGCCGGAACAGGCUCCUCCCCUCCAUCUCCAGGUGUGGUCACUUCCCAGUAGGCACGUCCAGCAGGCCUGGGGUCACACCGUGUGCUGUUUGGUGUGCGUUGGGCACAGGAAGGCGAGACCCCAGGCUCUGAGUCGGGAAGUCCUCCUCUCACUGCCCAGCCUCUGUGCACAUGGCACCCUCUGGUUCUCUGCAGCCUCCAGGUCGCCAGCCGCACUGCACAUGUGUUCCCGCGGGAGCUCAGAUCCACCUGGGGCUGUUUCAUCGCCUGGGUUCUUCCAUGAUGAAGUCACCACUGGUUGUCACCCGCAGCCUCGGCGAAGGGAAUAAAGACCCAGUCCUUGCGUCUGUAGGUGGGCAUGGAGCCAGGGCCCCUCCCCAGGGGUCAUGAUGGAGGCCCCCCAGGGUCCCUUAGCAACCAGGUGCCACCGCAGAGAAGAUGCCCUGUCACCUACCACCUGAUGAGAUUCAAGCACCCACUGUGCGCUCCAGUCGAGUUUAGAAGGCCCUGAAGAAGGGAGGCCUUUGAGGACUUGGCCAAAGACAGUAGGGCAGCCCAGGACCAGGGAGCUGACUGGCUCUCCGCCACCAGGGGCAGAUGGAAACUGAGCCAAGAGUCAGGCUGACUGGCCGUAGUCAAAAUAACUUGAAAUUUAGGCGGAACAUUUUUUCUCAAUUCUUCCCACUGAGUUCAGCCAUCGUUGGAAGAUUAUACGUCUCCAUCCUACUAUAGUAAAUAUGUGUCAUGUGGGCUCCGGCUUGUCCUGCCUCAUUGGUUUUCUGGACCCUCCUUUGCAAGACCUACUGGACUCAGAACACACACCUGCUUUUAACUACACCAGGCAAACCCAUAUCUCCUCCCCUUUAGUACCUCCCUAGGACUUGCUCUAAAAAUAGAUUAAUUAAAUAAAACAAAAUUCUAUAAAUGCAUUCUGUGCCCCAAGUAUCUCAAGUGACAUUGCCUCUGAACCUUGGUAGGUUCUUGGUGUGUCAAUACAUCAAGAGUUCUUCAUGUUAUUUGUAUUGUAAUGACAUUAUUGGGGGAGCACUAUGUAGUCAGCAUAGCUGGACUGUCCUCUAAUUCAUGGUGCCUUUGUGUGCUAGUGCACAGUGUCCAUCUGCCUCAUUGAACUUCUUGUUCUGACGCAC